AGCGAGAUUUACAAUAAAGUAGAUGUUGGAGCUAUGCUGACUGGGUUCAAAUCCUCAUACCAUCACUGCCUAGUUGUAUAAGCUUGAACAAAUUACUUGUUAUUGCUGUGCUUCAAUUUCCUCAGCUGUAAAAUAUGGUUUUAAAAUGAAAAGCCUUUGAGAUCUUUUAGAAUUAAGUGAAAAUUUAAGCAGAACAGAAGGAACACCAGAUGGGAGUCUCUCAAGAAGUGUCCUCAGGGAUAUCACAUGAAAGUGAGGUGAUCUUAGAUAUUAUCUUAUCUGAAAUAAAUUACCCAUUGUAAAUGAAUACAAGGAUGGCACAUCAUCUUUUCUCAUACAUAUAUUCAGAGAGCUGGCAGCUAUGUUGCAGGAAGAUGAAAGGAACCUCAAGUGUGUCAGCUGUGAAGCAUGUACUGUAUUCUUCUGGUGGAAAUUAGCAUGGCCACUAUAUCACAAAUGGAUAUUAUCGCAAAAGUUAAUUGUAUUACUAGUUCUGUUUAAAGAUAAAGAAUCAGACAUGUGCAA
ensembl:lncRNA novel transcript